rnacentral:tRNA from 1 species
GACUCAGUGGUUAAAAGAUAAAAUCUGCCUGCAAAGCAGGAGACUUGGGUUCAAUCCCUGGGUCA